UUGUAAAGUUCAUAAUUAUAUAUAAAUAUGAUUGUGACCUCGAUGUCGAACAGACCUAAAAUUCUAUCUUCUGCCCCAGAAUUCCAGAUUAAUUCAACAUCGAGGUCACAAUCAAAUUUAUAUAAAUGAACUUUACAAAUUUAUUAUGCUGUUAUCCCUAAGGUAUCUUAUUUUAAUAACCCUAAAUUGAGGUUA
rnacentral:lncRNA from 1 species